rnacentral:rRNA from 1 species
CGAAGAUGGGUAGCUGGUCUGAGAGGAUGAUCAGCCACACUGGAACUGAGACACGGUCCAGACUCCUACGGGAGGCAGCAGUGGGGAAUAUUGCGCAAUGGGGGGAAACCCUGACGCAGCAACGCCGCGUGAGUGAUGAAGGCCUUCGGGUUGUAAAGCUCUGUCAGGUGGGAAGAAGCUCUGUUUCUGAAUAAGUGCAGAGGUGACGGUACCACCAGAGGAAGCACCGGCUAACUCCGUGCCAGCAGCCGCGGUAA